ensembl:antisense Gm13405 predicted gene 13405
CUUGCAAUGACUGCUCCCUCUGGCAAAGGCACAGUUGGAGGUCCUCCUGCCUUCCCACUGUGUGGAAAGGGUAUUGCUGCACGGGAGUGACUUGCUCAGGGCCCAUCCCAGGAUCUACCUUGUAUGCACUGCCCUAGUGGGGCAGCCAGCACCAAGAGCUGCUCUACGAGGUCUGAUGUGCCUGGCAGCCCAGCCUGGGUUCACCUCAGCCUUUGAGUUGUGGAGAGGAGAAAGAUGCAGGUUGGAGGUGCAGUCUGCUGUCAACCUAUGAUGACCCAGAAGAUGCAAUUUUCAAAUACCAGUAGCAAUGCUCGCAGCCGGAUAGCCCAUUUUAAACUGGCCCAGAACACUUUCAGACUCUUGCCACUGGAUCACUGGGAGCUGCUCCAAGGAUAUAUAAUAGGGUGAUGCCAGUGGUUGCAUAGCCAGAAGAGGGUGCUGGCUCCCUGAGAGCUGGACUCAAAAUGCCAUGUGAGUCACCCACCCUACACUGCUGCUGUAAACUAAACUCUAGUCCUCUGGAAGACUAGCAAGUGCUCUUGACCUUUGAGUCAUCUCUCUAGCCCCAAGAACAAAGGUCCGAAUGUAUAUGCAGCCUUGAUGACCAGCUCUAGUAUCUUACAAAGAUAGCUUAUAGCUAUAAUGAUCAAUUAUAUAUAUAUUAUUCUAGGCACAAAACCCCAAAAAUAAAAACAAAAACAAAUCCUUGAAGCCAG